rnacentral:lncRNA from 1 species
CAUGAAACGGGGUCUUUCUGCAAAGAGAAAAAGGCUUGAAACAUAUACAAAAGCUUGCAGCAACACCAAGAACAGAAUGGAACAUAUUUUGAAAACACAACAACUGAAAAGGCAGAAAUGUAAUUGUAGAUGUUCUCUGCAGUUGCUGAAUUUUCUUCAAGAAUAUAACACACACAUGCAGAAGACUGAGGAAGAAUAAGAAAAACAAAUUAAAAUAUUUAGAGAGCAACAAAAGAGAUGGCAACAAGAGAGAGUCGUUAGCAGACAGCAACUGAAAGAGAUUAAGCUGCUACAUGAGCAAUUCAUGAAG